UGCCAACCGGGUGUCUGCACUAAGUUCGGCAUCAAUAUGGUGAUCUCCUGGGAGCAGGGGCCACCAGGUUUGCCUAAGGAUGAGUGAACUGGCCCCAGAUCAGAAAGGGAGAAGGUCAGAACUUCUGCACUGACCAGUAGUGGGGACUGUGCCUGGGCA
rnacentral:sRNA from 1 species